GACGAACGCUGGCGGCGUGCCUAAUACAUGCAAGUAGAACGCUGAAGGAGGAGCUUGCUUCUCUGGAUGAGUUGCGAACGGGUGAGUAGCGCGUAGGUAACCUGCCUGGUAGCGGGGGAUAACUAUUGGAAACGAUAGCUAAUACCGCAUAAGAGUAGAUGUUGCAUGACAUUUGCUUAAAAGGUGCAAUUGCAUCACUACCAGAUGGACCUGCGUUGUAUUAGCUAGUUGGUGAGGUAACGGCUCACCAAGGCAACGAUACAUAGCCGACCUGAGAGGGUGAUCGGCCACACUGGGACUGAGACACGGCCCAGACUCCUACGGGAGGCAGCAGUAGGGAAUCUUCGGCAAUGGACGGAAGUCUGACCGAGCAACGCCGCGUGAGUGAAGAAGGUUUUCGGAUCGUAAAGCUCUGUUGUAAAGAGAAAGAAACGAGUGUGGAAGAAGUGGAAAAG
rnacentral:rRNA from 1 species